UUCGGUCAAUUCAAGUAUUCA
rnacentral:piRNA from 1 species